rnacentral:lncRNA from 1 species
CAUAGAGUGGUUAAUGGAGGGUCUGUAAAAGAGGGUCUCUGGCACAAUGAUGGGUUCAGUUGGAUUUCAAUUGCUCCUAUGAAUUAGGCUUUUAUUCAUAAGGGCUCGUGUUGAGUGAACUGAAGAUCCCUCUUGAAUCUCUGACAAAAACAGGACAACAAUAUAAUUAUCUGUGAUGUUUGUAAUAGUUCUGUAAGAGGGUGAGUGUGGCGAUAUUGUUGUGUGUGUAUGUGUGUGUGUGUGUGUGUCUACAGUGUAGUUAUACCAUCAGGAUGAGGGAAGAGGUGUGUGUCUACAGUGUAGUUAUACCAUCAGGAUGAGGGAAGAGGUGUGUGUGUCUACCGUGUAGUUAUACCAUCAGGAUGAGGGAAGAGGUGUGUGUGUCUACCGUGUAGUUAUACCAUCAGGAUGAGGGAAGAGGUGUGUGUGUCUACUGUGUAGUUAUACCAUUCAUGAUGAGGUGGAUAGUGUGUGUGUGGUGUGUCUACAGUGUUGUUAUACCUCAGGAUGAGGGGAGAGGUGUGUGUGUGUGUGUGUUGUGUGUGUGUGUGUGUGUGUGUGUGUGUGUGUGUUGUGUGUGUGUGUUGUGUGUGUGUGUGUUCAGUGUAGUUAUACCAUCAGGAUGAGGAAGAGGUGGGUUGUGUGGUGUGUGGUCUACAGUGUAGUUACACCAUCAGGAUGAGGGAAGAGGUGUGUGUGUGUGUGUCUACAGUGUUAGUUACAAAUCAGGAUGAGGGAAGAGGUGUGUUGGUCUAGUUAGUUAUACCAUCAGGAUGAGGGAGAGGUGUGUGUGUUACUGUGUUAUUAUCACAUCAGGAUGAGGGGAGAGGAGUGUUGUGUGUGUCUACUGUGUAGUUAUACCAUCAGGAUGAGGGAAGAGGUGUGUGUUGUGUGUCUACCGUGUAGUUUUAUCCAUCAGGAUGAGGGAAGAGGUGUGUGUGUGUGUGUGUCUACAGUGUAGUUAUACCAUCAGGAUGAGGGAAGAGGUGUGUGUGUGUGUCUACAUGUGUGUUCUACCUCAGGAUGAGGGAAGGUGUGUUGUGUGUGUGUUGUGUGUGUGUGUGUGUGUGUGUGUGUGUUGUGUGUUUUGGUGUGUUGUUGUUGUUGUGUGUGUCUACAGUGUAGUUAUACCAUCAGGAUGAGGGGAGAUGUGUGUGUGUGUGUGUGUGUGUGGUCUACAGUGUAGUUUAUACCAUCAGAUGAGGGGAGAGGUGUGUGUUGUGUUGUGUGUGUGUUAAAGUGUGUUAUACCAUCAGGUGAGGGAAGAGGUGUUGUGUGUGUGUUCUGCUCUUUUGUCUCUGUGCCACUGUCCCUCUGCCAGUGCUGUUGCCAGACACUGCCUGCGGGCCAUGUCUCUCUGUGUGUGUGCGUGGCCCUGUCCAGUAGGAGAGAGAGAAGCACGUGCAGGCUAGGCAGGGAGAAGAGAUGUGACCAACGGCACAGCGCUGUUUACAUGUCUGUUUAGAUGGGGGAAUGCGGAGGAGGGGACAUCUUUGUCAUGUACCCACUCUUACAAGAGGCUGUGGGCUAAAAUAUUGAUGUGUGAUGGUUGGUUGUUGAUAAUGGCACAGGCUGCCCCUCUACUGUUGUCACACAUGUUAGGGACUCCGACCCUCCAAUUCUUCUCUUCUCUCCUCUCUCUGUCAUCUCCUUUCCAAGUCUCAGAUUCAGCUCACUGUCGCCAUCGUCAUUGUUUACUCUAGCAGUCACACACGCUAUGAGUAAAUGCACCAUAACGUUUUAAAUAAACGGGAG